rnacentral:rRNA from 1 species
GAUGAACGCUGGCGGCGUGCCUAAUACAUGCAAGUCGAGCGAACGGACGAGAAGCUUGCUUCUCUGAUGUUAGCGGCGGACGGGUGAGUAACACGUGGAUAACCUACCUAUAAGACUGGGAUAACUUCGGGAAACCGGGGCUAAUACCGGAUAAUAUUUUGAACCGCAUGGUUCAAAAGUGAAAGACGGUCUUGCUGUCACUUAUAGAUGGAUCCGCGCUGCAUUAGCUAGUUGGUAAGGUAACGGCUUACCAAGGCAACGAUGCAUAGCCGACCUGAGAGGGUGAUCGGCCACACUGGAACUGAGACACGGUCCAGACUCCUACGGGAGGCAGCAGUAGGGAAUAUUCCGCAAUGGGCGAAAGCCUGACGGAGCAACGCCGCGUGAGUGAUGAAGGUCUUCGGAUCGUAAAACUCUGUUAUUAGGGAAGAACAUAUGUGUAAGUAACUGUGCACAUCUUGACGGUACCUAAUCAGAAAGCCACGGCUAACUACGUG